UCCGUUGUAGCAAUACGAUGGAAAGUCUAGUGGCGAACGGGUGCUUAACACGUGGGCAACCUGCCGAGAAGUGGGGGAUAGCUCGCCGAAAGGCGAAUUAAUACCGCAUGUGAUUAGAGUGGACAUCCAUUCGAAAUUAAAGUCGGGGCAACCUGACGCUUCUUGUGGGGCCCGCGGCCUAUCAGCUAGUUGGUGAGGUAAAGGCUCACCAAGGCUUUGACGGGUAGCUGGUCUGAGAGGACGACCAGCCACACUGGGACUGAGACACGGCCCAGACACCUACGGGUGGCAGCAGUCGAGAAUUUUUGACAAUGGGGGAAACCCUGAUCGAGCGACGCCGCGUGGAGGAUGAAGGUCUUCGGAUUGUAAACUCCUGUCAUUGGGGAACAAUGCGUGACGCUUAACUGCCGUUGCGUUGAUAGUACCCGAAGAGGAAGAGACGGCUAACUCUGUGCCAGCAGCCGCGGUAAUACAGAGGUCUCAAGCGUUGUUCGGAUUCAUUGGGCGUAAAGGGUGCGUAGGCGGCGCGGUAAGUCGGGUGUGAAAUCUCGGAGCUUAACUCCGAAACUGCAUUCGAUACUGCCGUGCUUGAGGACUGGAGAGGAGACUGGAAUUCUCGGUGUAGCA
rnacentral:rRNA from 1 species